GAAAUGCGAUAAGUAAUGUGAAUUGCAGAAUUCAGUGAAUCAUCGAAUCUUUGAACGCAGCUUGCGCUCCUUGGUAUUCCUUGGAGCAUGCCUGUUUGAGUAUCAUGAAAUCUUCAAAGUAAAUCUUUUGUUAACUCAAUUGGUUUCUACUUUGGUAUUGGAGGUCUUUGCAGCUUCACACCUGCUCCUCUUUGUUCAUUAGCUGGAUCUCAGUGUUAUGCUUGGUUCCACUCGGCGUGAUAAGUUAUCUAUCGCUGAGGACACUGUAAAAGGUGGCCAAGGUAAAUGCAGAUGAACCGCUUCUAAUAGUCCAUUGACUUGGACAAUACUUUUAUGAUCUGAUCUCACAUCAGGUAGGACUACCCGCUGAACUUAAGC
rnacentral:misc_RNA from 1 species